rnacentral:misc_RNA from 1 species
AAGGAUAAUAUACGGAAUAUCACCAUCAGGUGAUAAGCGAAUUAACGUGACAUAUUGUAUUCAGUUUUGAAUGCUCAUUCAUUGAGAAUUCAAAAUUCAAAUGGGCCUAUAGCUCAGCUGGUUAGAGCGCACGCCUGAUAAGCGUGAGGUCGGUGGUUCGAGUCCACUUAGGCCCACCAUUUGAAAUUGUACAUUGAAAACUAGAUAAGUAAGUAUAGAUUUUACCAAGCAAAACCGAGUGACAAGCGUUUAAAAGCUUGAAACAAAAAAUUAUCGCUAGUCGUCAAAUGACGACUCACAUAAUUAAUAACUGGUGAUGGUAAACAUCGUAUUUUUGAUUGUACAAACGUUUAUGAAAACGCUUGUCAGUCAACGCAUUUCUUGAUGAGCGCAGUGAAGUUUACUUCUCGUAAAUGAACAAGCGAAGAAAGAAAUAAGGUAGAAUGCGAGCGUUUAUCAUAACGUUUA